GCCGGGAUAGCUCCAUUGGUAUAUCUCACGACUGAAGAUCCUCGUGUC
rnacentral:tRNA from 1 species